UCGGCGUGUCGCCGGAACGCAAGAUCCAAUUGAUCUGUAUCGUGCUGCUGCUGAUGGUGGUCGAAUUGUUGAACACGGCCAUCGAGAAACUGGCCGAUCGCCUGACAACCGACCACGACAAGCAGAUCGGCCGGGUNNNUGGGGUCGGCGGCCGUCGGCGUCACGUUGGUGAUCGCCGGAGGGGUCUGGCUGUUCGCCAU
rnacentral:misc_RNA from 1 species